AGGUGUCCAGCUCAAUCGUCUCUAUCCUCUUCUUCUUAGCUAUGCUUUUUCAGUAUAGGAAAGGAGAAGGACUCAACUUCUUAGGAGGUAUAUGCUUCUCACUCCUCUUCGGAGGAAUGGACAUUGGAUCACUGACUGCAUGAACGUGAGCCUUUGAGAUGUUCGUUAAUUGAGAGCACCGUGUUCUACCCUCAGAAACCAAUUUGGGAGCUGGUUCUUUGAGA
rnacentral:lncRNA from 1 species